AUGGCGGCAAAGAAACAACUCUUUCGCUUUGGGUCUUUCGCGAUAAAGGACGGGUCGGAGAUUCGUUUCUGGGAAGACAUCUGGCUAGGCAAUGCCAGUCUCCGAGAACAAUAUCCAGCCUUGUACAACAUUGCUCGCGAUAAGAACAAUACUAUUGCGCAGGUGCUCAGCUCAUCCCCGCCGAAUAUUUCGUUCAGGCGGGAUUUGGUUGGCGCCCGACUUAUGUCAUGGCAUAAUCUCUUAUCCCGUCUGGAUCUGAUUAACCUGACGCAAGGCCGUGAUGUGUUUCGCUGGAACCUUACUACAUCGGGGUCUUUCACGGUA
rnacentral:rRNA from 1 species